rnacentral:lncRNA from 1 species
CCGCGCAGAUGCCAGGGGCGGAACCUCCUCUCCAGCCUGGGUCCCUGCUGUCCUCAGCUUGAGAAGAGAAGGGUAUGGUGCCUUCAAGGAACUGGAAGAAAACCAUUAUUGCUGGUGGAUUGUAUUGCUGCUUUUAAUGGAGCGAAUCCCCCCUCCCCACCAGAAACAGCAAAGAAACAGCAACUGGAAGAUAACAGAAUCAUGAAAGCAUGAUUGAAGAACAAAAAAAUGGGACAGCUGACACUUCCACUUCUGUUAAGAGUUC